CAGAGCCCUGGCCUGGGCCAAAGGGAAGCCCAGGCCUGGGGGGCUUCCUCACAGACUCACAGCAGAGGCCUGCCACCUUCUCAGGCUAGUGGAGCAGACUCUGGAAUCCUGCCUGGGAGCCCUGGCUGGCCUGCCCAGUAGCUGCUCGGAGUCACCUCUGCAGGCGUCUUAGGGAUGGAGCAGGAAGCAGCUCUGGUCAGGCUGGCCUUGGGCAGCCCUCUCACAAGCCGGGAGGGGGUGAGAUGUGGCCCCAGGGUCCCAGGCCCAGGAGGCAGCUGUCCCCGGCCUGGAAGGUCAUCUGGAAUUUUCCACAGCCAGGAGGAAGGGGAGGGAGUGGCCGGCCUCCCAGAGCCCCAUCUGGCGGCCAGGCCUGGAAGCUCUGAGGUUGCCUUUGAAGGAGGCUGGGGUGGCGGUGGAUAAACCAGUAGCCUCUGGACCCAGGGACGGUCCCCCGCCCCGACCUUCCUUUUCUGUGCCUCUCCUCCGAGGCCUGCAGGCAACGAGCACUAAGGAUGCAUGCCGUGCUGGGAGCCAGUCUUAUUUCACAAAUGGACGCACGGGCGACAUCCACUGAGGUGGCGUGUGUAUUUUCUAGUCACCAUUCAGCCGCCCAUGGUCACGAGCUGUGUCGGCGCCCCAGGUCCUGGGCUGGACGCCGGAACGAACGCGCAGAAGUACCGGAAAGAAGGGAGAGAGAGAGAGCCAUUUCCCAGGAGUUGCCCUGGACAUGUGGGCACAGGGCAUGGGGCUGUGGGUUUCCUCAAUCGCUACGUCAUGACACGGAUGCCCCACAGCCACUUCUUCAGGUCCGAGGCGCCAGGGGAGGCAGCCCACAUUAUCCACGGUGUGUUCCUCUGGCAGUGGCUGGGCUGCAGGUUAGGGGUGCUCAAGCCACAGCCUUCUCUCCGGCUUCUGCUCUGGCACCUCCCUUGGGACCAGACAUGUCUAGAGGACAGAGAAAUUGAUCAUGACUUUGAGUCACUCCUGUGUCUCAGAUGGGUUCAAGUUGGUGGCACAAAGUCCCUUUAGAUUCAAGUGCCAGAGAAGGUAGCUUUGCAGUGCAGCUUUGAUGCCUGCUCAAAUGAUGUGGCCACUGGCCUAACGUGUGGUCUUGGGAAUGUCUUUGACUUUCACACCUCAGUGUUCUCAUCUGCAGAAUGGGACUCACAAUAAUCCCUGGUGACCAGGAACCAAUAAGCCUGUGAAACGGGCUCAGAACGGGGCCGGCACCAGGUACAUGCUGAGUCAUCAGCCACCGCUGGCAUCCCCCAAGACCCUCGAAGAUGUGAGACGGAAACUAUGUCCCAACAAGCCUCCGUGGCAGUUCAAGCGGAUGGAAACCACCACAGGCUAGAAGUACAUUUCCCGUGACCCCAAGGUCAAGGGUCCACAACCAAGUUAGCACCCAUGCAAUUUUUCCAUCUCUUCACAACCUGGAUCUUCAACACCUGAGUUGCCACUGCUUUCUUUUUUUAAAAAAAAGUUGGAAUAUAAUUUUAUUUCUAGCACAGUAAUUUUAAUGAACAUACGGUUUAUUUAGACUAAGAAAUGACGGGUCCAGCUGAUGCACAGUAUUCUGCUCAUUUCAGGUGUACGACGUGGAGAUUCGACAUUUAAACACACCACAAGGACCAGUGGGCUGGACCUCGUUUCCAUCUGUCCCCCGUACAAACUUCUUACUGUAUUAUUGACCCUAUUUGUGCUAUAUAUUAACCCCCCUUGGCUAAUUUAUUUCCGGACUGGAAGUGUGUUCCCUUUAGCCCCCUUCGGUCAUUUUGCCCAACCCUCACCCGCUCUCCGCUGGCGACUGCCCACGUGUUCUCUGUAUCUGUGGGUCUGUUUCUCUUUUGUGAUGUUUGUUCAUUUGUUUGUCAGAUUUCACAUACAAGUGAAAGAUGUCUUUCAUAUUCUGAAUUUGUCUUUCUCUGACUUAUUUCACUUAGUAUAAUAUCAAGGCUCAUGCUGUGUGUGUGUGUGUGUGUGUGUGUGUGUGUGUGUGUGUGUACGUAUACACCACAUAUCUUCUUUAUCUAUCCAUCUGCUGAUGGACACACACAGUUUGGCUAAUGGUAAGUAAUGUUGCAAUAAACAGAGGCGUACAUGUAUAUUUUUGAAUGAG
rnacentral:lncRNA from 1 species